UGCUGCCAUGUUCUGAUGCCUGUUUG
rnacentral:piRNA from 1 species